GUUUUCUUCUCCAUAGCUAAGGAUAUCAAGCAAAGGCUUGCUGACAGCGACUCUAAGGCCGAGCCUCAAACAAUCAAGAUAAACCAAGCAGAUAACGGAGCAGGGGCUUCCCAAACUGCUCAGAAGUCGGCUUGUUGUGGAUCUUAAGACAGCUACACUAAAGGUGGUUUAUUUACAAGGCAACACAAUUAGGUUACUCGUGCUUCUUUUUCUGUCAUUUUUUUUUCACUAGUACUAUAAUAGAACUCAAUUUGGGAGUUCAUAGUAAAUCCUUUAUCUGGAAAUUAAUUAUAUGGUUCAUCUGCCCCAUAUUUCAUUUCAAACUGAAAAAGAAGUUUCAUAUUUCAAUAUAAGUCCUUUUCGUAGU
rnacentral:misc_RNA from 1 species